GGGGGUGAUCGGUUUAGACGGUUGUUCGUUGAAAGAAGUAGCCAAGCGGGCUGAGAUCCCGUAAAACUCUCAAAGCACAUAAAGUGCCAAUAAAAGCUUUUCUGAGAAAGUCGCAUCUGUUGUGAAUGGUGCAAUUAAGGCAGUUGCCUCAGUUGUGUCAGCUCCAAUGGCUGCACUCUCACUCGUCUAAUAAGACGUAACUGACCUCUCCUCCUUUGCAUACCAAGCGAGAAGUUAGGAGUAAUAAAGUGUAUGCCGACCUGUCGUCCAGCUCCUCUGGAACGAUGGAGUUGUAUAAGUGAGGGCGUGUUUCGCUUUUUUGUCCGAUUUCUAGGCGAAAUCUAGUACACAAUUCGGGCUGCCUUGGGAGAAGCUUCUUUUAGAAAACAGCUGAACAGGGGUUCGAUUCCCCUCACCUCCAAUA
rnacentral:tmRNA from 4 species